GUGUGUGUGUGUGUGUGUGUAUGUGUCAGUGUGUCUGUGUGUGUAUGUCAGUAUGUCUGUCAUAGACACACACAGACAUACUGACAUACAUACACAAACAGACAU
rnacentral:miRNA from 1 species